CAUUGGUGAGAAUCCAAUGCCCCAAAAACCGAAGGGUUCCUUCGCAAGGUUUGUCCACGGAGGGUGAGUCUUUGCCUUAGAUCAGGCCAAAAGGUGUUGUCGAUGGAAAACAAGUUAAUAUUCCUGUACUACCCCUUUUUGGUCCCGAGGAAUGGAGGAGGCUAGGUUAGCCGAAAUAUGGUUAUCCGUUCAAGGACACAAGGUGACCCUCUAUACAUUGAUUCAAAGGUAAAAGAAUAAUCAAAUACAAGUGUGUACAAGGUGAGGUUGGGGGUG
rnacentral:ncRNA from 1 species